GACGAACGCUGGCGGCGUGCUUAACACAUGCAAGUCGAACGGAAAGGCCCUGCUUUUGUGGGGUGCUCGAUUGGCGAACGGGUGAGUAACACGUGAGUAACCUGCCCUUGACUUUGGGAUAACUUCAGGAAACUGGGGCUAAUACCGGAUAGGAGCUCCUGCUGCAUGGUGGGGGUUGGAAAGUGUCGGCUGUUGGGGAUGGACUCGCGGCUUAUCAGCUUGUUGGUGGGGUAGUGGCUGACCAAGGCUAUGACGGGUAGCCGGCCUGGGAGGGUGACCGGCCACCUUGGGCCUGCGAUACGGCCCAGUCUCCUACGGGCGGCAGUAGUCGGAAGCAUUGCACAAUGGGCGCACGUCUGAUGCAGCAACGCCGCGUGCGGGAUGCCGGGCUUCGGGUUGUAAACAGAUUUCGCCUGUGACGAAGCGUGAGUGACGGUAAUGGGUCAAGAAGCCCCGGCUAACUACGUG
rnacentral:rRNA from 1 species